rnacentral:rRNA from 1 species
AUGAUGAAGAUUCUGGAACAGUGCAUGACAUGUCCAAGCCCAAGGUCUUCCCUUAGUGUGAAGCACCUGAGCUGGCGUCGGGCAAUAUCCCUUGAAUAUUAUUUCAUUGUGUUCUUUCUAGGUGUGCAACCAUAUCAGCUGCACCAAGGAGCUCCAUGCACGGGGCACGGCGGUACUACUUCCCACAAAACCUAUUAUAAACAGUGUGCUAGCUACCAGGAAUGUGCAGAUUCAUGGAAGAGCUUUGUGCAAAAAAUUAGGAGAAAGAGAAACAUAAGAGACAUUUCAGCAAGUUUAUUUAUGGAGGCAAAAAAUAAUUCUACUUAUCACUGUAAUACGAGUUGUAAUAAAUGA